rnacentral:rRNA from 1 species
AUGAACAUUACCCUCCUGUUCAAAUGGCUUUGGCGGAUCUAGAAUGAGGAGGGCGGCCUGUGGCUUCAGAUUCUUCGUGGGAAGUACCUUCGCGGGCAGCCAUUAGCGUUUGCCUCUAGGUCUGGAGGCUCCCAAUUCUGGCAAUCGGUGAUGUCUUUGUUGCCGGUUCUGCGCAUUGGGACCUCCGUCCAGAUAGGCUCUGGGACUACCACCCUUUUUUGGCUGGAUAGAUGGGCGGGUACCCGCCCCUUUGCAGAGCAUUUUUACGCUCUAUUCUCUAUCUGUGUUUGCCCACAGAUCACUGUGGCCGAGGCACUAGAGAACCUAGGCGUGAUUGCCUUCCGUCGCACCUUCGGGGCAAUCGAACUUUCACAAUGGGAUGAACUACUUGAAUGCAUUGCCCUUCAUCCUCCUUCUCUGGAACCGGAUUCGCUUUCCUGGCACCUCGAGCCAAGCGGUAGAUUCUCGACUAGAUCCCUAUACCAGGCGAUUGUGCCUACCCCUGGCCCAGUGGAGCUCACGGUGCUCUGGAGAUCAAACUCCCCCUAA